rnacentral:miRNA from 1 species
UAGCUUGCUUGGAGUAGCUUGCUU